rnacentral:rRNA from 1 species
CCUACGGGUGGCAGCAGUGGGGAAUAUUGGACAAUGGGGGGAACCCUGAUCCAGCCAUGCCGCGUGUGUGAAGAAGGCCCUCGGGUUGUAAAGCACUUUCAGUGAGGAAGAACGCCUGGUGGUUAAUACCCAUCAGGAAAGACAUCACUCACAGAAGAAGCACCGGCUAACUCCGUGCCAGCAGCCGCGGUAAUACGGAGGGUGCGAGCGUUAAUCGGAAUUACUGGGCGUAAAGCGCGCGUAGGUGGCUUGAUAAGCCGGUUGUGAAAGCCCCGGGCUCAACCUGGGAACGGCAUCCGGAACUGUCAAGCUAGAGUGCAGGAGAGGAAGGUAGAAUUCCCGGUGUAGCGGUGAAAUGCGUAGAGAUCGGGAGGAAUACCAGUGGCGAAGGCGGCCUUCUGGACUGACACUGACACUGAGGUGCGAAAGCGUGGGUAGCAGACAGGAUUAGAUACCCGGGUAGUC